GACGAACGCUGGCGGCGUGCCUAAUACAUGCAAGUUGAGCGCUUAAGGUUGGUACUUGUACCCACUGGAUGAGCAGCGAACGGGUGAGUAACGCGUGGGGAAUCUGCCUUUGAGCGGGGGACAACAUUUGGAAACGAAUGCUAAUACCGCAUAAAAACUUUAAACACAAGUUUUAAGUUUGAAAGAUGCAAUUGCAUCACUCAAAGAUGAUCCCGCGUUGUAUUAGCUAGUUGGUGAGGUAAAGGCUCACCAAGGCGAUGAUACAUAGCCGACCUGAGAGGGUGAUCGGCCACAUUGGGACUGAGACACGGCCCAAACUCCUACGGGAGGCAGCAGUAGGGAAUCUUCGGCAAUGGACGAAAGUCUGACCGAGCAACGCCGCGUGAGUGAAGAAGGUUUUCGGAUCGUAAAACUCGGUUGGUAGAGAAGAACGUUGGUGAGAGUGGAAAGCUCAUCAAGUGACGGUAACUACCCAGAAAGGGACGGCUAACUACGUG
rnacentral:rRNA from 1 species